rnacentral:rRNA from 1 species
GGCGGCGUGCCUAAUACAUGCAAGUCGAGCGAAGUUUUUCUGGUGCUUGCACCGGAAAAACUUAGCGGCGAACGGGUGAGUAACACGUAAAGAACCUGCCUCAUAGACUGGGACAACUAUUGGAAACGAUAGCUAAUACCGGAUAACAGCAUUAACUGCAUGGUUGAUGUUUAAAAGUUGGUUUUGCUAACACUAUGAGAUGGCUAUGCGGUGCAUUAGCUAGUUGGUGGGGUAAAGGCCUACCAAGGCGACGAUGCAUAGCCGACCUGAGAGGGUGAUCGGCCACACUGGGACUGAGACACGGCCCAGACUCCUACGGGAGGCAGCAGUAGGGAAUCUUCCGCAAUGGGCGAAAGCCUGACGGAGCAACGCCGCGUGAGUGAAGAAGGAUUUCGGUUCGUAAAGCUCUGUUGUUAGGGAAGAAUGAUUGUGUAGUAACUAUACACAGUAGAGACGGUACCUAACCCAGAAAGCC